UUUGGUGGUCAUAGCGCGAGCAAAACACCCGAUCCCAUCCCGAACUCGGCCGUUAAGUGCCGUUGCGCCAAUGG
rnacentral:rRNA from 1 species